GCGCAUGAGGAGCAGCAAGAGGUAUUCAUGAGUUUGUCAACAUGCCGCGCAAAAACAAAAAAAAAAAAGAAUCCCACUUACUCUUUAGAAACUCUAAAAAAGGCUGUUAAUGAAGUUAAAAAUGGGACUCUGAAUGCUUACCAAACAUCAAAAAAGUAUGCAAUACCACGAAUGACCAUUGCAGACCGCGUCAAACUUAGAAGAGGCAUUGUGAAAGAAACAAAAGGUAGACCAACCAGGAUCGAUGCAAUAAAUGAAAGACUGGUUAAUGGACUUCGAACGAUGGAAAAGUAUGGUUUCGGACUAUCUUCAAAAGAAACAAGUAUAAUAGUAACUACGUUUAGUUUUAUAAACGUAGUUACUAAUAGAUUGUAACUACGUUUAUCAAACGUAAUAAAAUUAAAACAGACUUUAAAGAUGAUACACCAGGUUACGAUUGGUUCGCAGGUUUUCUUAAUAGGCCCAAUUUGUCUUUAAAAAAACCCCAAGCUGUUGAGUUGUCACGGAAAGCAGCUUGCGACCCAUUUAUAAUUAAAAAUUACUUCGAUAUUCUUGAAAACUGUAUCGAAGAACUGAAUCUUCAAAACAGCCCAAAAAAUAUGGAACUUUGAUGAGUCCAGUUUCAGCAAAGACCCCGAAAAAACAAAAGUAGUAGCAAGACGGGGUACCCGCUGUAUCAGGCGAUCUAACUGACCAAUCACGAUCGUUCUAACGCAUGACGCGACGCCGCUAUUACAGCUACUAGUCGGCGAUGUCAAGUAACACAGAAAUCCCGCGCUGUUUUAUUAUUCGAGAAAAACAUUUUUUUAAUGGUUUCGUUGUCAUUUUAUCGUAAUUUUCUAAGCGUGUUCUGACGUGAAGGAGGUUUAUUCUGUUUUGAAGUUAAUUUAUUACAGAGAGCUAAUGAUUUGACUACCAUACGACGACGGACAAAAUGGUACGAAAUUAUGUUCGGAAGACGGAUAGGGCAACUACAUAUACAAGAGAACAAUUGCUGC